rnacentral:misc_RNA from 1 species
UAACCGUCACAGAUCUGGGAGUUCUCCAGAUCUAUUUUCCCGCACUGAUACCAUGUGAGAAAACGAGAAAAUGAACUGAAUAAUGUUUUUCUUGUAUUGAUCAACUGCACUAAGAAGGGUAUUUAUACAAGUAAUAUACAUGCCAGCUGGCAGAGUUAAAUAAACUAACUAAUCUCUACAAAUCUAGCCAAAUCCACAUUCUGAUUUGAGUGACUUCAGUU